rnacentral:rRNA from 1 species
UACAGAGGGUGCGAGCGUUAAUCGGAAUUACUGGGCGUAAAGCGCGCGUAGGCGGCUUUGCAAGUCGAGUGUGAAAUCCCCAGGCUUAACCUGGGAACUGCAUUCGAGACUGCAUGGCUAGAGUAUGGGAGAGGGAAGUGGAAUUUCAGGUGUAGCGGUGAAAUGCGCAGAUAUCAGGAGGAACACCGGUGGCGAAGGCGGGUCUCUGGGCCGUAACUGACGCUGAGACUCGAAAGCGUGGGGAGCAAACAGG